CACCACAACAGGUGGAGCCUGCGGUUUAAUCGGACUCAACGCCGGGAAACUCACCAGAUAAGACAGCUGAAUGAUAGUCGGGCUGAAGACUCUACUUGACUAGCUGAGAGGAGGUGCAUGGCCGUCGUCAGUUCGUACUGUGAAGCAUCCUGUCAAGUCAGGCAACGAGCGAGACCCACGCCAACAGUUGCCAGCUCGUCCUCCGGGAUGGUGGGGACACUGUUGGGACCGCCUCUGCUAAAGAGGAGGAAGGAAUGGGCAACGGUAGGUCAGCAUGCCCCGAAUUAUCUGGGCUACACGCGGGCUACAAUGGGUGGGACAAUGGGUAUCGACACCGAAAGGUGAAGGCAAUCUCCUAAACCCAUCCGUAGUUCGGAUUGUGGGCUGCAACUCGCCCACAUGAGGCUGGAAUCUGUAGUAAUCGUGUCUCAAAAUGGCACGGUGAAUAUGUCCCUGCUCCUU
rnacentral:rRNA from 1 species